rnacentral:rRNA from 1 species
CAGCCGCCGCGGUAACACGGAGGGUGCAAGCGUUAAUCGGAAUUACUGGGCGUAAAGCGCACGCAGGCGGUCUGUCAAGUCAGAUGUGAAAUCCCUGGGCUUAACCUGGGAACUGCAUUUGAAACUGUCAGGCUGGAGUCUUGUAGAGGGGGGUGGAAUUCCAGGUGUAGCGGUGAAAUGCGUAGAGAUCUGGAGGAAUACCGGUGGCGAAGGCGGCCCCCUGGACAAAGACUGACGCUCAGGUGCGAAAGCGUGGGGAGCAAACAGGAUUAGAUACCCGUGUAGUCCCUGUCUCUUAUAC